UAAACUGACACUUCUCAAAAGAAGACAUUUAUGCGGCCAACAAACAUAUGAAAAGAAGUUCAACAUCACUGUUCAUUAGAGAAAUGCAAAUCAAAACCACAAUGAAAUGCCAUCUCAUGCUAGUCUGAAUGGCAAUGAUUAAAAGUUCAAGAAACAAUAGAUGCUGGUGAGGAUGUGGAGGACCUGGAAAAAUGGAUAAAGGCAAGCACUGUCAGGAGUGCAGAGAUUGGCCCUACUAGAUGCAGAGACCCUGCAGAGCUGCAUUGACUACCAGAUUUAUUUUGUAAGCCAGAAAGUGUUUUAAAUGUAUAAUUCCAUAUUUAUAAUGUUGGCCACAACAUUAUGGUUAUUCCUUGUCUGCAUUUUAGUAUUUUUCACCAUUCGUGAAGAAACAUUAAAACAAGUUAAAUGGUA